rnacentral:rRNA from 1 species
CCUACGGGUGGCAGCAGUGGGGAAUAUUGGUCAAUGGAGGAAACUCUGAACCAGCAACGCCGCGUGAAUGAUGAAGGUCUUCGGAUUGUAAAGUUCUUUUCUAAGGGAAGAAGAAAGUGACGGUACCUUAGGAAUAAGCCUCGGCUAACUAGGUGCCAGCAGCCGCGGUAAUACGUAGGCGGCGAGCGUUCGCAGGAAUGACUGGGCGUAAAGGGUGCGUAGGUGGUUUGACAAGUUGGUAGCGUAACUCCGAGGAUCAACCUCGGCACUACAACCAAUACUGUAGGACUUGAGUGCAGGAGGGGCAAUUGGAAUUCCUAGUGUAGCGGUGGAAUGCGCAGAUAUUAGGAGGAACACCGGUGGCGAAGGCGAAUUGCUGGACUGUAACUGACACUGAGGCACGAAAGCGUGGGGAGCAAACAGGAUUAGAUACCCGGGUAGUC